GAUUAAAAGCAUGCACCACCACCGCUUGGCUUUUUAACAAAAUGUGUAACUCCAUUUCCUCAAAAUAACAAGAAAAGUUACCAAUAUAUUAUAUAAUCUGGUUAACAUUUGCACAGAUGUGAAUGAAGAGGGAUCUGGCUUUAACCCUGUGUUUCUAGCUACUCAACAACACUCACUUUAUUUUAGGGGGGAAAUUCACGGAUCCUGUUUAUUUUUAAUGUGUGGAGGGUAUGUGUGCACGUGGAUGUAUUUGUGAGACCCAGAGGACACUUCCCUGUGCCAUUCUCAAGUAUGCUGUCCACCUCCUGUGAAGCAAGACUUUUCAUCGACCUGGAGCUCACCAAUUUAGUCUUGACAGUAGGUAGCGAACGUAGGGAUUCUCAUGUCUCUGUCUCCCUCUGAGCCUGGUGUUUUUUUUUUUUUGUUGUUGUUUUUGUUGUUGUUGUUGUUGUUGUUGUUGUUGUUGUUGUUCUUUUUUUUCGGAGCUGGGGACCGAACCCAGGGCCUUGCGCUUCCUAGGCAAGCGCUCUACCACUGAGCUAAAUCCCCAACCCCGAGCCUGGUGUUUUUAAUGUGGGCUCUGGAGACCAAACCGGUCCUAUGCUUGUGAUCAAGCAGUUAACUGUAGGCUUUGCUACAGCUUAGGGAUUGCAGGUGUUGUGAAGUAGAACAUGGCCACAUUCCUGAACACUGUCUGUCUGUCUGUGAGGAAACCCUGAGUCUGAAUGUUUCUUCUCAUGAGCUGCGGUAUCCACGUGGAAAGUUCUACUCUCGUGUCCACUUCCUGUCUGGUUGCUAAGAGUGAAAGUUCCACUGUGGGCUGGAAGACAGCACACAUUCUAAUGAACUUCCACUUCGAAUUACACUGCAUUUUCACUGACUGGAAGAAGGGUAAAGAAGAACGUUAAAGCGACCUGAGAAAUAACUCCACCUUUCAUCGAAGCAGAUCAGGCUGACACAGGAUCUAACAACACAUUUGAAGAGGCAGCAAAAAUUGGAUCAGACUUCAAAGCCUGCUGUGGGCUCCAAGUCACAGAGAGACGCCUCCAUUUCACAUGCUGAAUUCAAGCAGAGUAUCAAAGUGCUACCAGAGAACCUCAGGUCCUCUCUCCAGCCGCUGCCGAGUGGAGCGCUCAGCAAAUCACCUCGGGGAGCGGCCGGCGUUUAUUCUCAGCAGCAAAUUUCCAGGCUUUUGAUUCUCUCUUCACUGUACCUCCCUGUCUCUCCACUGAACCAGGGUUCUUUCGUUGGGCUUUUGUCUUAAAAACUUCAAAAUAGCACUACAAGUUUCAUGUUCGGAUGGCCCGACCAGGCAGUCACAGGCAGGCUCUGCGACCAUGGAUUCAGACCUGAACGCCCAUGAACUGGGAAGGGAAGGAAGGGAGGGUACCAGGUUUUACCUCAGCAACAGCAUUCCCGGCUUCCUUAUCUGCAUGUCCCGAGGUGACAUCACUGCUGGCUGGGGAACUCUGGGUUUGUGGAUGCCUGAAAAGACAGCGAAAAUCAUAAUUUUUAAAAAGUUUGAAAACUGUAAUAAAAAUUACUAGGAUUGCUGUUGAAAAAAAAAAGAUGAACAUGUUUUCCUCUCCAAAAAGGUUUGCAAAGCUCAUCACUUCUGCUUCUGUUGCAUCCCGUGCCAGUCACUGAUUAAAAGGACGCUGUCCAUGUAAAGAAA